GAAUUUUGGACAAUGGGCGAAAGCCGGAUCAAGCAAUGCCGCGUGCAGGAUGAAGGCCUUCGGGUGGUAAACCGCUUUUGUACGGAACGAAAAGCUUUGGGUUAAUACCCUGGAGUCAUCGCCGUACCGUAGACAUAAGGACCGGCUAACUCGGUGCAAGCCGCCGCGGUCAUACGUAGGGUGCAAGCGUUAAUCGGAAUGACUGGGCGUAAAGCGUGCGCAGGCGGUUUUGUAAGACAGAGGUGAAAUCCCCGGGCUCAACCUGGGAACUGCCUUUGUGACUGCAAGGCUAGAGUACGGCAGAGGGGGGUGGAAUUCCGCGUGUAGCAGUGAAAUGCGUAGAUAUGCGGAGGAACACCGAUGGCGAAGGCAACCCCCUGGGCCUGUACUGACGCUCAUGCACGAAAGCGUGGGGAGCAAACAGG
rnacentral:rRNA from 1 species